GAAAAUCAGGUGACCUUCUACAUUAUUAUGUAAUCCAGGUGAGAGGUGUUCAGAUAGGACAGAGGUCAGUAGAAAAUGGAGAAGACAGAGGUUCAUGGUACGUUGCUGCAAUUCCCACAUGUAGACCAAAAUUGAGCACAGAAAAUGACAAGAGGAAACGCGAUCGCCAGUGGUGAAGUGAAGGGCUUAUUCCAGCUGACCAAAGGUCUGAACGAGUCCUCAACAAAUAAGACGACUGGGCAGUGACUCCAAACUACUGUUUACCGGUUGAUUGGCUGCAUUCGCCAUCGAAGACAUCAGAUUCGUCUUCACUAGUGCCUGCUCCCAUGCCAAGAUUGUCUCGCUUUCCGAAGUUUGUCUUUUAGUUUAUUUGCAGGGUUGACAUUUGAUAUGUUAUGCAAUUAUUGCCUUGGGUUGCAAUACUCGGUAUACAAUGUGUAUCAACUUAAAGGUUGCACACCGCGAGCAUUUUACUUAAGAAACUUCUGAUCAGAAAAAAAAAAGAUAGAAAUGGACUAAAUCUAUACUAAGCGUCAACCCUGCAUGUCGCUGGCUAUAUAUUAUACAUAUGCCUGUAAGUCGUAGUACAGUACUCUAUCCGCCCAUGGCAGUUUAUUUAAACAUUUGUGUUGGGAGGAGGUACCCAUCAGUUCUCGAAUAAAAAUAUGCUUUUUUAGUAAUAACAAAAAAUAAUGUCAGUGAAAUGAUGUUUUGCUUAAGUGAUGGAUGAAAUUAAAACUGAUAGCUAUGCGAUGUUUCGGUAGAGUACUGUGCUAGCACCAUUUGUUUUUCAAAUAUUUGAGGGCAGUUAUUUUCUGAGGACAAAUCUUCAGUUACACACUUAGCUGUGCAUUUGUUUUUUUUAAUAUUAUUGAUUUUGAUGUAAAGUAAAACUCUGGGAAGAAAAUAUUUAAACUCCAAUACAGAAAUUGUUUAAACAUGAAAUAUUUGGGAGAUAAUCAGAUAAGUAUAUUGGCUGUUCAGUUUAAUAAAAGAGCAUGUUGUUAAUCUGCAAUAACUGUAAAACACUACUUUACAUUAUUAUUACGCUUCAGAAAUUACAGCGCUAUGAAAAUGACAAAAUGUGUCCACGUGACUGCAGUAUUCUCCACGUAUUAGAACAUUUUUUUAAAUUGUGGAUAUGCUUAGAAUAAGAUAACUGGUUCCCGGUGCUUUGAUAUUGUGUCUCAUCAGAUGUUUCCCGAAAUAAUUGUGCAUUCGAUAUUGCAGUAAUGGUAUGUACAUUACCCACGUGAUAAGUAAAAUUGGU